rnacentral:lncRNA from 1 species
UAAGAAAACGAUAGACUCCCAUCAAAAAUUCAGCACCGCAACCUGCACAAAAACAGAGUAGAGGAGAUGGAUAACGCCGAUACAGUGGAGAUAAAAGAGAACCCAAUUCCUCCAAUCUUUAAAGUUAACUUAUACAUAUAUAUAUUGCCGUAGAGGAAGUGAGGUGUUGAAUUGAUAUCAUGAAGAAGAAAGGAAAUUGGGUGACAAUUUGAGGAGAAUUCAUGUUGUGUGCAGUUUUGUUCUAAAUCAGUGGAAAGAACUUUGAUAAGCAUAAAUGUAUUGUAAAGGUUCCUAUUGCUUUGCGCCAGAAUAAGGCUGACCUCAUUUUCGAUCAUUGCUUGGUCACGAAUCGAGGUUCCAGUUUGUAAUUUCGGGGUUUUAGUCCAAGGAUUGUUGCUCCGUUUAGCUCAAAUUUUCAGCUUUGUUCAUCAAUAAAAGGUCCAUUUCUUAAUUUUCAUUCUUAUUUCAUUUUGUACGAUGGCUUGGUAAGUGUGUUGGUUGAUUUGUGACUCUCUGUUGCUGUUUAUUUGUUUCUCCCUUAUUACCACGUCUGGAAUAGCUUACUUAUGGAAGGAAGUUCCAAAUACGUCUUUGGUAUGAUAUAUUCCCCAUAUUUCAUGAACAGUAGCGUGAGGCUUGGAUCUUUGAGCAUGCAAGUUUGUCUUUGUUAGCUUGAGUAGGUAUAAAUGUUUCAAAAUGAUUUUAUGAAAUUGUGGUCUCGAUGGUGAGAUUAAAAGGGAAGUUUUAAAUCUCUUAUCGUAUUAAUAUAAUUCCCUUUAAAUUAAUAAUAACUCUUUAGAAUCGAGGUGUGCCAUUAGCUGAAUUUUUCAUGGCUCUCGCAAACUUAAAAGUGCGUAGUUGAUUUAGGCGCGUAAUUUAAAUUAAUUUCCUUAAACCCGGGUGUGCAUUUCAUGUGACCCAAAUCCAAAAUCUCAACAACAUUAAAUAGAAUGUGUCUCGGACUGCGGGUGCAUUUCAUGUGGCGUGGUCCAAAGACGUGUUUUAAAUGACGUUGAAAUCUUCCUUAAAUAUAAUCAAAAGCGGCUAAUAAGUUAAAAAUGUACCAUAGGCUAAAACUUGUAUUAAAAUCAGAUAAUAGGCCAAUUAUAAUAGUUUAAGCGAUCGUGCUAGAACUACGGAAUUCGCGGGUGCCUAACACCUUCCCUCGGGUUAACAGAAUUCCUUAUUCAGAAUUUCUGGUUUGCAGACUUCAAAAGGAAAGUCGAAAUUUCCUCUAUUUGGGAUUUAAAAUAAACCGGUGACUUGGAACACCAAUUAAAAUAUUCCAAGUGGCGACCCUAAAAUUAAAUAAAUAAUCUCAUUUCGAAUAAUGUCACUUUAAUUGGAAAAACUCCCUAUAUAUACCCUCGGGUGUGUUAAAAGGAGGUGUGACACUCGCGAUCAAUAAUCUAACUCUGCUUAAGUCCGGUAUCUCCAAUACCUGGAUCUACAUAAAAAUGUGCAUAAGUAUAGUAUGAGUACACCACAAUCGGUACCCAGUAAGUAUCAAGACUAACCUUGGUGGAGUAGUAAUGAGGUAUAAGUCAAAAUACCUACUAGUCAAAGUAACAUAUGCAGUAUAGAAGUAUGAAGCUAAUAAUGAAAGCAUGAAUUAGUAAAUGGCAACAAGAAUCAACAUAUGAUAUAAACGGUAAAGUAUUAAGAACAAUGUUAAAGUACUAGUGAAACCAACUAAGGAAAACAAAUGACAACCAAUUAAUCAAGUCAUUCUAACACAAGUCUCACAACGAAAUUACUCCGAAAUACUUCAUCUCAUAAACAUAAGUCACGAGUCCCAAUCAUAGAUCAUACGCUCACAGCACCUCGUGCCCGUAUUUUUCAAUCACCACUGCACGAAUAACUCACGUAUCAAUAUCUCAAUUCGCCCGGCAUGAUCAUAGGCUCACAAUCACAAUUCGUCCGAUAUGAUCAAAGACUCACAAUCACAAUCUAAUCGGUAUGGUCACAGGCUCACUAUCACAAUGUAAGUAGAUAAUACAAGAAUACAUGGACAUAAUCAAUAAAUGUCAAGUUUCAUAUUCCUGAACUAGUAUAAGUGGCAUGCUACAGUGUAUGCUUGUGUGAGUGUACUAUCAUAGCCCAAGUCAACAAGUAAUAUCAAAGACAUCGAGUAGCUCAUUUAAAGCAACACAACAAGUCACGUAGGUGUAAGACAUACACAAGGAAUAAUCACCAUCACACGAAUAUCAUCAACAUAAUGCCCCCAGGCCAUCACACAUCAACCCUAACAUUGCCACUCUUAUCUCUCCGUAUUGAUAACAUCAUAAUAUCCACCCUUAUCGCUCGCGCCAGACAUUUAUACAAUAGCCACCCUUAUCACUCUGAUAGCCACCUGUAUCACUUCGCUCUGACAACAAUAUAAUAUCCACCAAUAUCAAUCCAUACAAUCAUCAACAGUGAUAUGCCACCAUUGUGCUCCGCAUAAUGACAAGAGUGAGAUGUCACCCUUAUGCUCUGCAUAACAACAAUCAAUCCUUACAACAAAUUCAUAUGUGCUAACAUCACAACAACAUGACGUAUCAACUCAUACCACAAGUGCCCAUAGGCCAUAACCUCUUAACAACAACAAUACCAAUAUGACUACAUCACAUAGCCCACUGCUCAAACACGAUGUGUAAAAAUUCCAUUAACAAUAAAAUGAACGGGGAAAGUAACUCAACAAUGAACAAUACCCUAUUAAACAACAACUUCAAUUAAAACAGAUUAAUGACUUUCAAUAAUUUCAACUUCAACUAAUUCUUAGGAAUAACUCAAUAAUGAAGGUAUUUCCAAGAAAUGGAAAACUUCCAAAUUUUAGUGUGUGAAAUAAGCUAACAAUGAAAGAGAUGGCAUGAACUAGCAACUAAGUCUAAAUGCAUGAGAAUAACCCGACAACGAAAGGAUAUCAUAUAACAACAAUUUCAAUUAAUAGUAACUCAAUAAUAAAAGGGGUAACGACUUCAAAUAACGCAUAUACGAGUAAGCUUGACAAAUAAAGUAUAUGACAUGUAACAACAACUUCAAAUAAAGCAUGUGAGAGUAAACAUGACAAAUAAAAGAUAUAACAUGUGCAAACAAAUUCAACUACAUACAUGAAAGAACAAACUUGACAGAUAAAAGAUAUAACAUGUAACAACUUCAAAUAAAUACAUGAAAGAAGCCUAAGAAUCUAAUCCGGUCAAUUUUUACAUAUAAGUCCGAGUACAAACAUUUUUCACAUAAUUCAAAUAAUACAAUAAAUCCCAAAUUCUAAGGGAUAGUUCCUCACACAAGGUUAGAUAAGAUUAUUACCUCAAAGAAGCUAAAUCAAAAUUCUAAAAUGACCUUCUCGUGUGAAACAACCUUCAGACGGCUCGAAUCUAGCUAAAACAAUUUAAUAUCAUGAAUAAAAGCCAUAGGAAAUAAUUCUCGAUAAUAAACCUUGGAUCUUUAAUGAAAAUCAAAAAUUCAACCCCGAGCCCGCACCUUGGAACGCGAAAAACUCACAAAAUUUGAAUACCCAUUUCGAUACAAGUCCAACCAUAUUAAAAUUAUCUAACUCCGACAUCAAAUUAGCAUACAAAUCAUCAUUUUACAUUUUACAAAGUUUUUAUAAAAAUUCUCAAUUUGUCCAAUUCAAAUCACUAAUUAAAUGAUAAAAACAAAGAUAGAAUCAUGAAAUAUAACCAAAUCCAGGUCAAGAACACUUACCCUAAUUCAAAUUGUGAAAAUUUCCUUCAAAAUCGCCUAAAACCGGGCUCUCUAACUCAAAAAGUGAUAAAAUAAAAAAAGCCCUCGAAAUAGAGUAAAUAUAAGUCUGCCUAGGUGUUCCUCUUCGCGAUUACGGAACAUGCUUCGCGAUCGCGAUGCCAACAAAACGUUAUUCGCGAACGCGUUAAAUAGGUCGUGAACGCGACAAGCAACCUCUAGCACACAUCGCGAACGCGAUUACACUGACGCGAUAGCGUACAACAAACACCUUAUGCCGUUCCAGCUUUUCCUUAAACGCGACCGCGAUGAAUUCUACCCGAACGAGCAAGCCACAAUCUUCCAUGCUUCAUGAUCGCGGUCGCCUCUUCGCGACAGAGAAGAAAAAAAUUGCCUGAUUCCACUAUAACACUACCCGAACGCGGAAGAGCAGUCGCGAAUGCGAGUAAGAAGACACAAGAUGACAGAACAACAAUCCAAAAUGGGAGGAAAUGGCACGUAGCCCAUCCGAAACACACCCGAGGCCCCCAAGACCCCGUCCAAACUUAUCAACAAGUUCCAUAACAUAACACGAACCUGCUCAAGGCCUCAUAUCAUAUCAGACAACAUCAAAACUACGAAUCACACCUCGGUUUAAGCCUAAUGAACUAAUGAACUUUCAACUUCUAAAACUAAUGCCGAAGCAUAUCAAACCAAUUCCGAAUGAUCUCAAAUUUUGCAUGCAAGUCCUAAAUGACACAAUGGAGUUAUACCAACUUCUGAAAUUACAAUCUGAAGCCGAUAUUAACAAAGUCAACUCCCUGAUCAAACUUCUCAACCGUCCAAACUUUAACUUUCCAACUUUCGCCAAAAUGCAUCAAAUCAACCUACGGACCUCCAAAUCCAAAUUCGGACAUACGUCUAAGUCCAAAAUCACCAUACAAAGCUAUUGAAAUCAUCAAAACACCAUUCCGGAAUCGCCUACACAAAAGUCAAACUUCGAUAAACUCUUACCACUUAAGCUUCUAAAUCAAGAAUCAUUCUUCCAAAUCAAUUCCGAAUCAUCCGAAAACUGAACUUGAAUACACACUCAAGUCAUGAUACACAAUACAAAGAUACUCGAGAUCUUAAGCCACUGAACAGAACACCAAUUCUCAAAACGACAGGUCCGGUCGUUAUAUAUACGGUUAGAUAUUGUGAUUGUGUCAGGGCGGAACGAUACGAUUAGAUAUUUUGAUUGUGUCAGGUGGAGCGAUAUAGUUGGAUAUUGUGAUUAUAUCAAGGCAGAGCGAUACAGUUGGAUAUUGUGAUUGUGUUUGGGUGGAGCGAUAUAGUUAGAUAUUGUGAUAAUGUCAGGACAGAGCUAUACGGUGGGAUAUUGUGAUUAUGUCAGGGCGGAGCAAUACGGUUAGAUAUUGAUAUUGUGGCAGGGCGGAGUGAUAAGGGUGAAUAUUAUUAUUGCGACAUAAAUAUAGGCACAGGGUGUCAUAUCUAUGUGUUUCUAUUUGAUGACUUGUUAUUGAAGCUGAGUCUUUACUUGCAUUAAAUUGUUAUCACUUGUUUUGAAGAGAUUAUUGUUAUUGUCAGUUAUACUUUCUGUUGCUAGUUUUUGAUAUAUUCACAGGUUAUUUGACUAGUGAGUAUCACAUGAUUUGAACUUUGUCACUACUUCACCGAGGUUAGUCUUGAUAUAUACUGAGUAUCCACCGUAAUGUACUCAUACUACACGUUUGCAUAUUUUUAUGCAGAUACAAGUGUUGGAGGCAGCGGACUUAGGCAGUGAGAGCUAUCAUUGACCGCGAGAAUUUAAGAUAGAGCUACAUUGGCCGUCGCAAUCCCUUGGAGUCCCAUCCUUACAUUGAUACUGUCAUUUUUAUAUCCGAAUAGCAUUGUAUUUUAAGAUAUCCUUAUGUAUUCAGCUGAUGACUUUGUACAACCUAGUUUUG